UGGGGACGCUAGGUUCCGGAACCUGACCUGAGCUGGGGCCUGUGCUUCCAGCGGGUGGUGGGGGGCCUGGUGUGCUGGCAUCAAGUAAGCCGACUACCUCGGCAAAGGCUUAGGGACAAGAGACCAGCAGCCUGAACUGGCUGGGGCAUCCGGAAGGCUUAGAUCUUGUGGCCAAGAGUUCAGACCGUGGCGAAGUGGAGAGUGACAUGCAGUUGGAUGGCGGUGACUGCGUGAUGAUGUCAGAAGUGGGAUCCAAAGUAGAGCUUAUAAUGACACCUAGGAGUGCUGAGUGACCAAGCAAGGUACCCACCAGGCCGAUUAUGUCCAUUGUUCUCUUGGAGCAGCUGGUCAUCAUGAUCUAACAGAGGGAACUACAGUCACUCAACUACAAAAUUUAAAUACAAUGGGAAUAAUUGGAUCCUGAGGUGGCAGGGGAAAAGUGGCAGCACUCAACCAUCAAAGGCAAGGAAACCAAAAUCAUGGUAUUCUGAAGACCAGAGAUAUGAAUCUCCUUCAUUUGGCAUCCCACCGGCCCCGAUCUGUUUCACUGCUAAUGUUCUGCUGCCAAAACUAUACAAGCUGCCUCACCCCUAGGCCCAGGGACUAUCACAGAAGAGAGCCAAUAAAACUUUUCUUUUGAGUGAUUUGCAGCUUUUAACAAAUAUCACCUUUUGUCAUAACUCAAGUCUUAUGAAUGGCCCUCACCAUAAUGAUGCUUUUUGACUGAGCUCUUCUCUAACCUGAAUGCAAGAGGUUAGGCAUGAAUAUCAUCCCCCCUGUUCAGCCUGAAGAAGUUACAGAAGAUGAAUCUUCCACUCUCUACAGCCCUUAGGAUUAAGGGUUCUCUUACUGAAUGUAUUCUUAAACUGAACACUUAUUAAUCUUCCAGAUAUCACCUUUUGUCAU
rnacentral:lncRNA from 1 species